ensembl:snoRNA SNORD115 Small nucleolar RNA SNORD115
GGGUCAAAAGUGAGAACUUAUUGUCUUCAAGAGUGAUGAUGACUGAAAGUCAUGAUCAAGAGGAUUAUGAUAAAGACA